CAGCUUCCCUUCCCCAGAACCUUUGGUCCAUGCCAUUGUGAAACCUGACCUGCCACUGACAACAGCACUGGCGAUGCAAUAGCACCGAACAUUUGCCAAGUUUUUUUAGCCGUCUGCUCCCACUUGCUUCACACCGCGAGAACUAGUGCACAGGGAGCCUUCAUUUCUGCCCUGCGUGUGGGAAUUCCCCCUCCCCCUGCUUUGGCUUUGAAGGAAGAGAAGUGACAGCAGAAUGGAGAGCAGAGGACUUUCCCAGGGAUGAAAAUGGAGCUGCAGGCUCUGGUGCAUUACACCGUGGCCCAGUGGGGUCCACACAGCAUAGCUGAACCCAUUCCUUUCCACCCUCAGAAAUCUGGAUAAGGACUGCUAGAACUUUCAUGAAGAGUCAGAAUGAGUUACUAUAGCAGAGUUUAAAAAGCAACUGACAAAAAUUUGAAGAGGACCAAGGCAGAAGGAAAACAGAAAUUAAAACAAAGCAUCACUAUAAAGAACAUUUUUCUGCACCAGGGCAGAAGGAAAACAGAAAGAAAAAUAAAGAACCACGAUAAAGGACACUUUUCUGCAUUACUUUCUAUGUUUCCUAGAUCCAACUUAAAGUUUGCUGUGGGCCAAUAUGAAACAGGCACUCGGGCCCAGAACCUGAAAGACCCUCUGGAAGAAAUCCAGUUCCAGCUGGGUGUGGGGGACUGAGCUACCACAACUUUGAGUUACAUUGUAGAUAUACGUGCUCAGUGUAGGAUGUAUAUUGUUAUGUCAUUCUCCCCCCCCCCCCCCCCCCCCCCCUCAAACUCACACUCCUAAUUCCAAUAAAUUUGGCUUGGAGUGAAAAAACCUUGGAUUCCUCAGGAAGUAUGCUACAGGGAGCAACUGAUCCCCAAUCCUACACCACCCAGACCUACAGAGCUCUGACUGCAUGGCUGUGUGGAGAGGCUGUUGCAGGAUCCUCACUUCUACAAGGUGCUUCUGUCCCUUUCAACUCUGAUUUGCUUUGCUCUUCAUCUGACCUGAUUCACUUUCUAGAAAUAAAGUCACGUAUGUUGAGUAUGUCUGAGUAGCAUCUGCUUCCUUCUUGUUCUUAAAUAAGCUCACUUCUUAAAUAAGUUCAACUUCCUUGGGUCCAGUCCUGCAAAGACUCCUGCAUGUUUAACUUUACAUACUAUGAAGUGGACUGAGUUCAAUGGGAUAACUCACAAGGAGUAAAGUCAAGCACAUGUGUCUUUGUAGGAUCAGGGAUUUACUGAUUACAAGUGUAAUAAACCUGGGUUCAAAAGGAUAUUGUACCUAUUUUUUUCAGAGGGAUCACAUAUGCAGAAUGUACAUCAGAAGCUGAAUCACACAGCACAGACCAUAGCAGUUUGCCACUCUUCCACCUCCACUAGAAUAGCAUUGUAGCUUCAGAGUCUACCCAAGGGUGUGCAGUGGUGCUCUCUUCAGUAUCAUUUGUAAUUAUUUCUUUAUCAUUCUGAAGCUGCAAAUAUUUCAAGUAGAGAAAAAUUACAAAUAUAUAUGUAAUAUCAUUAGUUUGGUAAUAAACACACAUGGAAACAAAGGCGUAAAAAAAAAAGACAAGGGAAUACUAAACGCACAGGGCAUUGGUGUUAUAAUAUAAGCAUCCAAUAAAGCUCAGUUCAGAUGCAGCAUCUGGUUUUCAGAGAGUAUAAUUUUUUAAAUCCAUUUUUCUACUUGGCUUGAUUGAGACAUCUGUCCAAGGUCAUACAGUGAAUCAAUAGUUCAAAUAUACAAUAAAUGAGAGC